rnacentral:rRNA from 1 species
GACGAACGCGGGCGGCGUGCUUAACACAUGCAAGUCGAGCGAUGAAGUUUCUUCGGAAAUGGAUUAGCGGCGAACGGGUGAGGAACACGUGAAGAAUCUGCCCUCCACUUUGGGAUAACACCGGGAAACCGGUGCUAAUACCGAAUAUUGAAACAUAAGUGGCAUCACUGAGUUUUGAAAGAAUUUCGGUGGAGGAUGACUUCGCGGCCUAUCAGCUAGUUGGUGAGGUAAUGGCUCACCAAGGCAACGACGGGUAGCCGGCGUGAGAGGGCGACCGGCCACACUGGGACUGAGACACGGCCCAGACUCCUACGGGAGGCAGCAGUGGGGAAUAUUGGGCAAUGGAGGAAACUCUGACCCAGCGACGCCGCGUGCGGGAUGAAGGCCUUCGGGUUGUAAACCGCUUUCAGUAGGGAAGAAGCGAAAGUGACGGUACCUACAAAAGAAGCACCGGCUAACUAUGUGCCAGCAGCCGCGGUAAUACAUAGGGUGCAAGCGUUGUCCGGAAUUAUUGGGCGUAAAGAGCUCGUAGGUCGUUUGUUACGUCGGAUGUGAAAACCUGAGGCUCAACCUCAGGCCUGCAUUCGAUACGGGCAAACUAGAGUUUGGUAGGGGAGACUGGAAUUCCUGGUGUAGCGGUGGAAUGCGCAGAUAUCAGGAGGAACACCAAUGGCG